rnacentral:rRNA from 1 species
GAUGAACGCUGGCGGCGUGCCUAAUACAUGCAAGUCGAGCGAACGGACGAGAAGCUUGCUUCUCUGAUGUUAGCGGCGGACGGGUGAGUAACACGUGGAUAACCUACCUAUAAGACUGGGAUAACUUCGGGAAACCGGAGCUAAUACCGGAUAAUAUUUUGAACCGCAUGGUUCAAAAGUGAAAGACGGUCUUGCUGUCACUUAUAGAUGGAUCCGCGCUGCAUUAGCUAGUUGGUAAGGUAACGGCUUACCAAGGCAACGAUGCAUAGCCGACCUGAGAGGGUGACCGGCCACCCUGGAACUGAGACACGGUCCAGACUCCUACGGGAGGCAGCAGUAGGGAAUCUUCCGCAAUGGGCGAAAGCCUGACGGAGCAACGCCGCGUGAGUGAUGAAGGUCUUCGGAUCGUAAAACUCUGUUAUUAGGGAAGAACAUAUGUGUAAGUAACUGUGCACAUCUUGACGGUACCUAAUCAGAAAGCCACGGCUAACUACGUG